rnacentral:misc_RNA from 1 species
AUAUUCGAACAAAACCGGAAAACGAUCUGCACGCUAGCUGCGCAUGCUCGCCAAUGUUCUGCCGCAAUUAGGAAAAAAAACUGUUUUCAACACUUAUUAUUGAAUUCUCGAGAACUAAAUCGAUUUCGGCGGAUUUUUAACAAUUAUAAUUACAAGCGAUCUUAUUUAAGAAAUAACCUGUACCUUGGGCAUGUUUUGAUUUAAUCAUUGAAUUGGGUACAAUACGCUGAAGAAGUUGUUAUCACAGGUUGGUUACAUUGUUUAUUACUAGAACAUAUCUCAUGGGUAAUCAGUCCCUUGCAGAAAUGAUUGAUUUUGCAUUAAAGUAAAAAUCUGUAUAUACGCGUUCCUGAGAUUAAACGAUAACUGACAAAAGGAUUGACCUAAAUAUUUCUUGUCAAGCCCAUGACACAAGCAUCAGACCUUUAACGUUUACCUAUUUCUUAUUAACAUUUUCAAAAAUUAUAACACGAUCUUCUAUAAAUGAUAUAUUUCGAGUACGAGAGUCACGAGUUACCGUGACCUGAUUUCAUUGAACUGGGGAAUAAAGCGUUAAGCCAGAUGAUAAAUAUAGCGUAAUUAAUAAACGAUAUACCUAUGGAAUAAUAAAUAUGGAAACAAUACUUGACUGUGGUUUUUAAAGAAUUAAACAUAUUAAAUAGUAGAAAUUAGGCUCAUUCACCUGUUGUCUUAAAUUCUAUACUUUUUAAAUAUUAAAGGUGAUAUUUAUUUAUAGUAUUGUAAACCCUAAAUGAACAAAAAUAAAAGUCCACAUAUUUGUAGCUGGAUAAUAUGUUUCCUCUUGCUAGGUUAUUGUUGCUAUCGUUCUACUUAGAAGUGGUUGGUAAAGGGUUAAUAAAAGUAAUUGCCUUUCGUAUGGUUACUUGAUACGUUCUUUACGUAAUAAUGCAUUAAAAAAUGACAAGUCUUUAAAUGUGCAUCUAAAACAGGAUCUCCAAAAUACUAAAAACGAGAAAUUUAGAAUAUGAGAUAGUCAAAUAACCACUACGCUGUCUAUUCAUAAGUUUCAGAUAAGCGACUUGAAGUAAAAAGGAUAAUAAAGCGGAAAUAUAAUAAAAAAGAAGGGAAAUAAUGAGUUUUACUAGCGACGAGGUAAACUUUCUUGUAUAUCGGUAUUUACUUGAAUCGGGAUUCAAGCACUCGGCUUAUACAUUUGGGAUCGAAUCGCAUAUAUCGCACAACAACGUUUUAAAUGGCGCCCAAGUUCCACCAGCAGCCCUACUUGCCGUCAUACAAAAGGGAAUACAAUACACAGAGGCAGAAAUAUCAAUUGGGGAAGACGGCUCAGAAAGAGUGAUCGAAUCAUUGACACUUAUUGAUGCUGUCAUGCCCGAUCAGAUAGAACAGAGAAAACAGCAAGCUGCCGCUCGAUCAAAACCAACUGAAAAUUUAGAAAUGUCCAAUAAUGCGUCAACGUCUACUGUUUUUGGCGAUCAUGCAGUAAAGAAUGAAGAACCUCCUAGUAAUAACGGCCCUUCAACCGUAAACGAUACUAUGGAAGUUGACUCUUCUUAUGAAAUUCCCCAAUCUAAGGCAACAACAUUGAGAGGUCAUGACAGUGAGGUGUUUAUAUGCGCUUGGAACCCAACAAGCGAUCUCUUAGCUUCAGGAUCUGGAGAUUCAACUGCUCGUAUAUGGAAUAUGAAUGAGGGAGGCGGUAACGUCCAUCUCACAUUGCAACACUGCAUUCAGAAAGGCGGUACAGAAGUACCAAGCAACAAAGACGUUACUUCUUUGGAUUGGAAUUGUGAUGGGUCUCUCUUAGCAACUGGCUCAUAUGAUGGUUUUGCCCGAAUAUGGAAUACCGAGGGUCAUUUAGUUAGUACACUGGGUCAACACAAAGGACCUAUCUUCGCUCUCAAAUGGAACAAGAAGGGUAAUUAUAUAUUAAGCGCUGGUGUGGACAAGACAACUAUCAUAUGGGAUGCCCAAACCGGACAAUGUAACCAACAAUUCUCUUUUCAUUCCGCUCCGGCGUUGGACGUCGAUUGGCAGGGUAAUCAGAGUUUCGCCUCCUGCUCCACCGAUCAAUGCAUACAUGUCUGUAAAUUAGGGACUGAUAGACCUAUAAAGACAUUCCAAGGUCAUACUAAUGAAGUCAAUGCUAUUAAGUGGGAUCCUCAAGGUUCUUUGUUAGCUUCUUGUUCGGACGAUAUGUCUUUGAAGAUAUGGAGCAUGAAUAGAGAUAAAUGGGUUCAUGAUUUACAAGCACAUAAUAAAGAAAUAUAUACAAUCAAAUGGAGCCCUACAGGACCCGGUACAAAUAAUCCUAACGCUCAAUUAAUUCUAGCCAGUGCCUCAUUCGAUUCUACUGUAAGAUUAUGGGAUGUCGACCGAGGAACUUGUAUACAUACAUUAACCAAACAUCAAGAACCUGUUUAUUCUGUAGCCUUUAGUCCGGAUGGCAAAUACUUGGCCUCUGGUUCAUUUGAUAAAUGCGUGCAUAUAUGGAAUGUACAAAGUGGAAAUUUAGUUCAUUCCUAUCGGGGAACUGGAGGUAUUUUUGAAGUUUGUUGGAACCAUAGAGGAGAUAAAGUUGGGGCUAGUGCAUCGGACGGAUCGGUGUUUGUUCUUGAUUUACGAAAGUGAGACUGGUUUCUGACUCAUCUGGUCUCUAACCCCCAACCAUAAAGCCGCGAAUAGGAUCUCAAGCGAAAAAAAACGACUGUGCAUAAUGAGAAACUGUAGGUUUAUUGACGAGCUUAAUUGAUUACAGAACCAAACGUUUGUGAUUCAUACGUGUGCGAAAAACGAAAAAAAUUAUUAAAAUCGUCUUGUCUAUUCUGUAUAUGUGUUUAAUAAAAAAAAACAGUAACAAAAACUUUGGCAAAGUUGUAACGGCUUUGCAAAAGUCAAGCAAUAAAAUGAAACGUGACUAGCAAACGGAGGCUUUUCUUAGCCGUCAUUUCCGUGAAGUCUAUUAAGAACAUCAAUGUCUAAAUUGUCAUCGAAUUCAUCGUCGCCAAAAUCGCUUUUGUUGAUAGACCGCAGCAUCUGACGUUUUUCUUCUGGAUCUUUGCAUGCUCUAACGAUUUUCGCCAAUUCCUGCUGAUUAUAUUCUACUAAAAAUUUCUGACAAGAUCUCAUGGAACCGGCACAAUGUAAAGUUCGAAAUAUUGCUGGAACGUUUUCAACUUUUUUAAUAAAAAACAUUGCCGCUUGCACCAUAUCCUUCAUAUCUCUCUUACAUCUAAUCUUAGCUAUUCGUGUGUAAGGAUUGACAUACUUUACUCUUAAAUUCGUUUUUAUCGAUCCAUACCCGUAGUCACCGAAAUUCUCUUUUAAGGCUUCUAAUAGGCAUUUAUAUAUCAUUUUACCAUUUAAAUUUUGGUCAUAUAAUCUGCCAUCGGCAAAAUUAACUUCAGCCACAAGAUAUCUGUGCUUGAAGCGAACCAUGUUUAUAAAAAAAAUAGGAAACAGAUGUCGCUAGGUGUUUCCGUCGUC